GGGGCUAUGGCCAAAUUGGAAAGGCGUUGGACUACGAAUCCAGAGAUUGCAGGUUCGAGCCCUGCUAGCCUCG
rfam:Microsporidia sp. TGP3 contig-13, whole genome shotgun sequence.